CGAAACUUGUGUCAUAAUAUAUAAGAAUAAAUGUCUGUUACUUUCUCAUAUCUUUUAAAAAAAAUCUCAUUACAUAUUAUAAGUAAUAAACGCAAUGAAAUGUUGAUAGACAAUGACAAUUACAGUACAGUUCACAAAAGCUAUUUUGCACCUGAUCCAACAUAAGGAAAUAUGAUCCACACUUUUAUAUAAUAGUGUUCACGUGACUAUUUUGUAUAAAACAAAACGCAUCCGAUCAUAUCGCUACCUAUUCCGAAUCUUACUACGGCUUAGGCUGUUUUCAAUUUUUUGUAGAAGGUAUGUGUUAAAUGUAAAUUAUUAAAUAUUACGUGUUCGUUUACUUUUAGAAAAUGAUUAACAAAAACGUUUAAUGUUAUAUGUUUAGAAAUAUAUACUCUUAAUAGUUUUUUUCUCUCUGAUUUUAAUCUCAAAACAAAAUCGGUUAUUAAUUUUCGUUUUUUUUUUUAUUAUAUUUUCAUAUGUGAUAUUUAUAUAUUGCCUUCAUCACUCCAGGCUUCAUAAUAAUAAUACCAAUACGUUCCCAAAUAUAUAGUUGUUUCGUGUGUUUAAGCAGUCAUUUUUUUUAUAUGACAAUGUCUAUUUACAAAUCAGAUCCGUGGUCACCUCUUCCGAUUUUGUAUUCAAAAGGAAAAAAGUGGUAUUCUGAAUGUCAUCGAUUCUAUAUCAUAUUGAUAACAUUUAUAUGUGAGAUCUUUGGUAUCUUCUUCUUAACAGUACGUGUUUAGUGAAGUUAUUCUAGUAGAGUAAAAAUAUCUAAAUUUUCACCAACCGAUGUUUUGCAUAGUGUAAAAAAAACUAUUUCAUCUAAAUUAAAUUCAUUGAUUUAUUAAAGUGUUUCUAUGUACUAACAAGUAUUUUAUUAGAUUUAAUUUGAAGAAAUUUAUUUUAACAUUGGUUUACCGUCACUUUGGUUUGUACACAAUACAUACAAACUGGAUAUCAUGUCAGAGUACCGAAUCAUGUAAAAGAUUAUUAGAAGUAUAACGCUGUUCAGUAACCAAACCUCGAAAACAAAAAUCUGGGUUACAAACCAAAACCGAGAGAAACACAUCGACUUAAAGCGAAAAACAACAGAAAAAUUGAACUGCAACAAAAACAAAAGCCAACGUUCACCUUAAUGCAUUUUUAAUAACAACUGCUAUAUUCCUGUAUUGGUACGUCAAUCACAACAAUAAUGGCAAAGCGAAAAAAGAACCUCAUAAAGUCUAACGUAAACUACACUUUUUCUUACAGGAUGUUUGAUUUAUAAAAAAAGGAAGAUGAAAAUGUUCGAGGUAAGUGAUUGCGUAUUUAUCUUAAUUUUUUACUUUUUAAUAUUGUGUCGUCAUUCUCAUAUUUAAUGCAUUUCCCUCGGGUUUGGUUUGUGACCAGGACUUGUUUUUUAUGAGUUUUGAACAUCGGUAUACUACGCCUUUAUUUAGUGUAAUUGUAUCUCUUUAAAAAGACAGUGAGAUCAGGCAAUGAUGCUAUCAAUAUAUAAAUAACACAUAACUGAGAGGGUGAUAGAGCAGAUUGUUACCCGGAGAAAACAUAGUCAACUGCGCAGCCAAGGUUGACAAUGCUUUUUCGAGGGGUACCAAUCUGCUCUAUCAGCCUCUAAGCUAUGUGUUAUUUAAUUCAUUAUACUAAAUGUCCUAUCGUUAUUGUCUUUUACAGAUGCAUUUUAUUUGAAAAUAUUUUCUAUGACGUCAUGUACAUAACAACGUUAUGGGUAUUAUAAAAAUCAACAGAAGUGAAGCAAGAUGUUGUUUUUUUUUUAUUUUUUUACAUUUAAAUAAUAGAAUCUGAGCCAAAACGUAGAACUUAAGCAUUGUCUUUAAUAAUUUGAUGUAAAUUCAAUUCUCGAUUUUGUAUUGGUCUGGACGAGAGGGUGACAUUCAAAAAAAGUGUCACCCUCUCAGCCAUGUGAUAGAGUAAAUUAACGCCCUCGUAUCAGCCAAUCGAAAUAUGGAAUUUUAACGUGAAGUAUAAUAAAAUAUUUUGUCGUUGAUAUGUGCUUUUUAAGUUUUAAAUACUAGUAUACACACGUUGAUAAUUAUUUUGAGUAUUCCAUGUAUUGUAUGGAUUCGGGGAUAUGUAAAGAAAUCCGAUAUUCAAGUUGAUAAUAAUUUUAUGUUCACUAACUAAAGUACGAAUCUUUGCAAAUACAUUUCUUAUCAAAAUCGUUAUUCAUCAAACUAAUAGUGUGUUUGGCAGGUAAUAUGCACAAUGUCUUUGAUAUACAUUAUUUUUGUUCAAUAGUACCUCGAAGAAUGUGUAAUCCUCUGAUUUACCAUUUUGUGUAUUAAGUUAGAUAAUAAUUUAGUCGAAACAUCCUGUUUUAUUCCAAUAUGAACGAUAAAUUUAUUAUAUAAAACAGGAGUGAACUUUGGUAUAUGUGCAAGAUGCGAGCCUCGUCUACAAAAGACCCAUCAGUGACGCUCGAAUAAAAACAAGUUCAGUAAGCGAAAUAAAUAAAUGAAUACAUUAUAUCGACAAUGAUUUUUUUAUUUCAUUUAAAAAUAAAUAUUUUAGUUUAAUAUGGUUAUUUAAACAACCUUUUCAUAAAUCUGUUUCCCAAUUAUCUCUUUUUCUUUUUCAGAUAAUUAUAAAACAUUAUGGAUCCUGGUCCUGAUGGGGGACGUUAAAUUACAUCAAUUAACAAACAGUCGUCUGGUGGGAGAACGACGUUAUAAAUUGAUAAACUGUAGCAAAAUACUUCCACGUUUCACAAGUGUCUUUUAACAUCAUCACAGACUUGCUUGGCUUGUUUGUGUUUAAAACUUGAUAUGUUAAUAUUUUGCACCUGCAAAUAACCAGUUUUAUCAUUUUGGACUUUCGAUGACCGGGUUUAUUAUUUUGGACUUGGAAUUACUAGAUUGAUCUGUUUGGACAUGCAAUAACUUGAAUUAUCAUUUAAGAUUGAUAACCGAAUUUAUCCAUUUGGACUAGCAUGCAUCAGAUUUAUCAUUUUGCACAUAUCUGGACUCUUCUUUAAAUAAUUGAAAACGAUAAAGAUUUAAAAGAUAAAAUGAUAUAUACAUAAAAAAAAAA
rnacentral:lncRNA from 1 species